AACCAACAAUCUAAAACUAACGGCAAUCCUAUCAAUUAAUAGAGAAAUACAUUUUACUAGGAACAAACUUAUUAUAUCAAACAGUACAAACUAUAACCAUACAAAAUCAGAACCUUUAUCAUAUUUAUAGAGUCUAUUAUCUUUUGAUCAGUUAGCAACUUAGCAGUAUUAUUCCUUCAAAGAAAAUUUUAAUUGUUCCAAUUAUAUAAUCAUUCAUUUUUUUUUACAUAAACUCUUAUUAAAUCAUCCACAAGUACUGCUACAAUCCACUAUUCAACCAUAUAUUAUGUAAAAAACACAUGUUUUUGUUAAACUAAAAUUUUAAAUGAAUGAGCCAUCAACACAUGUCUAAUCUAUAAAAGUAUUCAAAUGUAACUUGAAAAGAUGUACUAAAGGGACGAAACUCACAAGGCCAAACCGACACAUUAAAUUGAUUAUCCCAUUAAAAUAUUUUGUUCAUUAUUUCAUAAAUGUAAUUUAUGUUUAUCACAUAUUCAAAAUUUUCUCUAAAACAAUUUUUCACUAUUUAGACUUUUCCACAUUUUAGACUUAGUCAACUCGGCCUUGGGGGUAUAGGCAGUACUAACUUUUCAAAGUUUGCGAUCAAAUUCUUAUUUCUUUUAUUUGCGCAGUCACCAGAAACUGAUUCACUGGAUUUCAACCAAUUGAGUUAUAUUUUUUUGUUGUUAAUAAUAUUGAUGUGUGAAACACCUACUGAUGAGUCCUAUUCACACAUCCAUAUUA
rnacentral:lncRNA from 1 species